AAAUAAAGCAGUUUACAAGGGGGUCAAAAUAUUGUGAAUAACCCUGUACAUUCACUGGGGCCGACCGACCGGCUCUGUCCCGUCAUACAGCUGACCAACUAUAAUAACUUUUAUUUAUAUUCAAUUUAGAAUGUGUGUACUGAUUUUCAGCCUUAGUAAAUGGAUCUAAUUACCUUCGUAGGAAAGCAACUUUGAUACCCUCUCAGUAACCCCUGUGCUACGUUUCGCUUGACCGACCGCAGUAUGUUUCUCUAUACAAUCACAGUAAUGAACUGUGAAAAAUCUAGCUUUAGUAAAUUCAAAGAGAUUUUUCAGCGCUGCCUCUUGGACUGUUACUUCAACUGAGACUUCGACCAGGUGUUCAGCUGUCCUGUAGCUGCGCAUCGUCAUCAAAGCGCUGCGUUGUAAGCCAUGUCUUCAUUGCUCGAAACAGGUGGUAGUCGCUAGGUGCAAGGUCCGGACUAUACGCCGGAUAAGGAAACACCUCCCACUUGAAUUUUGUAAGGACUUCUCCAGUACGAUUUGCCGUGUGUGGUCAGGCAUUGUCAUGCAACAACAAAAUUUUCGAGCUCAGCUUUCUUCUGCGUUUGUUUUGUAUCGCUCUUCGUAACUUUUCCAAUGUUUCACAAUAUCUCGCCGAGUUAAUUGUUGAGCCACGUUCCAGGAAGUCCUUCGCUGAUCCAGAAAACUGUUGCCAUAAUCUUCCUUGCAAACAGGAUUUUUUGGUUUUUAGGGGAAUGUAUGUCUCCGCACUCCAUAGACUGCAAUUUCGUUUCGCAAUUGACAUGUUUUACCCAAGUUUCAUCUCCAGUCACAAUUCGAUCAUGUAAUGAGUCACCAUAUUUUUUCCAAGAGUCCAAAAAACGUCAAUGAAGCAGCCAUACGCAGAUUUUUAUGGGUUUCUGUCAAGAGUUUUGGUACCCACCUUGCACAAAAUUUGUGAUAACUUAACUUUUGUGAAACAAUUUCAUGCAACAAACUUAUUAAAAUUUAUGGAAUUUUCUAGUCGACUUUAGAGACAAGUUCAUCAGUCACAAUGCUUGGCCGUCCACAUUAUUCGUAUAAACAGCUCAGAUUUCGCGAUAAAUUUCAAUUGGUUUGUUGUUUUUAACCAACAAGAACCGUUUUACCGAUCGCACCUCACAAGUCACAACUGGCGGGGUUUUCGAUCGCGGCACAUAGCACGGCUGGACAUCUACUGAACGGAGGAACGCUACGAUGCUAAGAUGGCCGCGCUAGCCCCGCCCCUAGCGGCAAAAUUUCUGAAUAGCCUGCGUAUAUAAUAUUUAAAUAAAUUCUAAUUCGGAAAAUAACAUUGUGUUGAAUAUUGGUUUUGGUCCAAUUCAUAUGGGACUAGCUCCUAAAACUUCCAUUUUUUACUUUUUUCGAAAUUCCGACGACAAUUUUUAAAACUGUUUUUGACAGAUUGUUACGCCAACUGCCGGAGAACUCUUUGAACCUUUUUGAAAUCUCUGUCGCAUCUUCGAGCAUCGAUAAAAUCAAAUUCCAUUUUUAUUUCACAACAAACUUGUUAAGUGCACUUCUUUAUUAGGAUGAAUGUUUAAAAAUUUUUCUACAGAGUGCCAUUUAUCGUCAAAAAGAAAUCUUUUAAAAAAAUAUCGAGGGUUAUUAAUUUUUAUUGUAGUUCUAUUUUACACGUUAUUUUUUUUAAUAUACUUUGUAUGCUGAUACCUUUACAGCACAAUUCUUGAAAUGUUGGACAAGGUUACGGCAUGUAACCUUUGACCCAAAUAUAUAUGUUACAGUUCAAGUUGAUUGUCCAGUUGGAGUUGACUAUUCCUAGUUCGAGUCAACUCAGGCCGGUUUUAGUAAAAGUUGAUUAUAAAUAUAGAUUUUUAUUCAACAUUUACUAGUAAAAGUAGACUCCAACUAGGAAAAGUAUACUCUUCCCAAUGCCAUUUAGUAAGUCAAUCAUUAGAUCAGUUUUUCCCAAUCAUUAGGUCAACACUUACUAGUCAAAGUAAUAGUGUCAAAGUAAAUUAAGAACUUGUGCCCUCAAGCUUUUCAUGAAAAUGGAACCAUCAUAAAUAAAAACACCAGAUUCUAUAAAUAAAAUUUUACGAGUUGAUAACAGUCAAAAUAAAACGCACGCAUCACAAAUCACAUGCGAUUCUAAAUUUACUGAAUAGAUCUAGAAAUAUUCAACUCAAACUAGUAAGAGUUCAUUCUCUCUUCCCGGGAUCUACUAUCACUAACAAAGGUUAGGAAGAGUCUACUUCAAUUAGUAAAAAUCAUAAUUUUAUUGAAUAGAUCUAGGAAUAGUCAACUCAAACUAGUAAGAGUUAAUUCUCUUCUUCCCGGGAUCUACUAUCACUAACAAAUGUUAGGAAGAGUCUACUUCAACUAGUAAAAGUCAUACUUUUAUUGAAUAGAUCUAGAAAUAGUCAACUCAAACUAGUAAGAGUUAAUUCUCUUCUUCCCGGGAUCUACUAUCACUAACAAAGGUUAGGAAGAGUCUACUUCAAUUAGUAAAAAUCAUAAUUUUAUUGAGUAGAUCUAGAAAUAGUCAACUUAAACUAGUAAGAGUUAAUUCUCUUCUUCCCGGGAUCUACUAUCACUAACAAAGAUUAGGAAGAGUCUACUUCAACUAGUAAAAGUCAAACUUUUAUUGAAUAGAUCUAGGAAUAGUCAACUCAAACUAGUAAGAGUUAAUUCUCUUCUUCCCGGGAUCUACUAGUACUAACAAAGAUUAGGAAGAGUCUACUUCAACUAGUAAAAGUCAAACUUUUAUUGAAUAGAUCUAGGAAUAGUCAACUCAAACUAGUAAGAGUUAAUUCUCUUCUUCCCGGGAUCUACUAUCACUAACAAACAUUAGGAAGAGUCUACUUCAACUACUAAAAGUCAAACUUUUAUUGAAUAGAUCUAGGAAUAGUCAACUCAAACUAGUAAGAGUUAAUUCUCUUCUUCCCGGGAUCUACUAGUACUAACAAAGGUUAGGAAGAGUCUACUUCAACUAGUAAAAGUCAAACUUUUAUUGAAUAGAUCUAGAAAUAGUCAACUCAAACUAGCAAGAGUUAAUUCUCUUCUUUCCGGGAUCUACUAGUACUAAUAAAGGUUAGGAAGAGUCUACUUCAACUAGUAAAAGUCAAACUUUUAUUGAAUAGAUCUAGGAAUAGUCAACUCAAACUAGUAAGAGUUAAUUCUCUUCUUCCGGGGAUCUACUAUCACUAACAAAGGUUAGAAAGAGUUUUACUUAAACUAGUAAAAGUUGAAUUCAAGUUUUCAAAUUAACUCUUACUUCUCGCUUUAGUUUGAGUUGACUCUAACUAAGAAUAGUCAACUCUAACUGAGAAUCUACUUGAACUCUAACAUAUAUUUUUUGAACGAAGACUUUCAUUUUUAUAACGAAUAUUUGAAAAUAUUUCUUUUUACAUUUGAGAAAAAUUGUCUAAUUCUUCUAUAGCUAUAGACGUGCUUUCUUUUGGUUUCUUUUGUACGUGGAUGACGCUCUGUACGAAGAAAAAAUACCAAAAAACUGUAUAUAUUAUUAUUAUACAUACAAUAUAAUUAAUAGAAAAUUUUUUGAAAAAUCGUUUAUUUCUCGUUUAUUGCUGUAUGAAAUUGUUUUUAUACAGAUUUUUAAGGAAAAGAUCGUGAGAAACGGAUCAAUGUUGAAACCAUGUUUUGUUAAUUUUUUUAAUAGAUGGGAAGGUUGCAAUAUCGGAGCGUAUCAAAAAAAAUUUAAUGUUUCGUGUAAGACCGAUAUGUCAAUAUUCCAAAGUAUUUUCUAAUCGUCUGUUAUUUUAUUAAGUAUUACUUAAAAAUGAUUGUGCGAGUUUCAGUUUUAUUAGGCGACUUGAACAAUACAUGUAAGAAGACAAACAAAAGCUCAAUCUGAUGACGUUAGUGCUAGUCGAUCUUUGAUAACUACAUAUCAAGUCUACAUGAACAAUGAUGAUAGUGGUUUAAAUUUAUAAUUCCAGAUUUCGCUUGCGCUACACAAUACACAAAAUGAAGUUAUCUUCCUCACAAUAGGAGUGUUCCGAUGGUGGGUGUUAACGGAAUCAAUUAAAAAUAAGUGUAAACAACGAACAGUAAUAUUUAUUUUUAUUUGGUUAAAAUGCGUGCUUAUUCAUCUCGUAAGAGGGUUGUUUAUUGUUUUGGGGCAGCGAGGGUGCGUCUGAACUGCCUGCCUGCUGUGACGAUACUGCAGAGACCACAACACGGUCAUCACGUUUGCGGUUUUACAAUUUUUAAGGCAAUAAAUUACUACAUCUGGCGUUUUAAAAGCUCGGAACUUUUCUGUAGUUUUAAGAAACGUCUUCGAAUGCAUUUCCAAAGUGCGUUGACAUAAGGUCUGAUAAGGUAAUUAAUUUAUGGGGAAUUCAGUUUGUUAAACUGAAGACAACAAAAACAUAUUAUGGUUAAGGAUACAUUUGGUUUCAUAAAACGUCUUAGCAUCUAGUUUGUAUAUUAAAUGUGAAUUUAUAUGACCGUUUUGAGAAAACUUAUUAAAAAAUAAAAUUAGCAAAAAUAGUAAUUAAAGCGUGUCGCCACAGGAGUAUUCAGGCUUAAUAUGAUCAAUGAUUUUCUGUGAAGGAAAAACUUGCUCCUCUUGCUUCUCUUUAAAUACAAAUCAAGAUAUUUAUUAUAUAAACACGUUUUUUGAGACAGCACCAAGUAAACCGGAAAUAAUACUAAGUAUCAAAAGACCAAAACUUGAGUACUUGGGACAUGUGAUAAGAGGGCAAAAUUACUCAUUAUUACAACUUAUUAUGCAAGGCAAAAUCCGAGGAAAGCGAAAUGUGGGAAGACGAAGAACAUCCUGGCUUAAGAACUUACGGGAAUGGUUCGAAUGCAGUAGUGCAGAGCUAUUUAGAGCGGCAGUCAACAGAGUCCGCAUUGUCAUGAUGAUUUCCAACCUUAGAUAGAAGUGGAACUUAAAGAAGAACAAUAGUUCCAUAGUAUUCCACUUUUGACAUACAAAAUACCUAAUGAACUAAAGGAAAUAUAAAUUUAUUAUUGACACAGAAAUACAUAAAUUAAUUGACUUUGAAUUCGACACAGUAAACUCCAUUUUCCAGUAUACAAUAGAAAGAAAGGUGUGAUAUGUGAUAUUUGGACAUAAUGCCUAAAAAGACAUUCACAGAGUCCCGUGUGCCAAUAUAUUUAUCAUCGUUCUCUCCAUUUCUACAGUUUUUCCUAACUGUUGGAAGUCCCAUAAAAUUGAUUUGGUUGUUUAAAUAGUUCGAAAUUAUGUCCCUUUUUUUUCCCUUGUCGACGCCGGUGUUGUUCCUUGCUAUCGAAAUUCGCAUGUGUCGCGAAGAAGAGGAUGGGACGCUUACCAUUUGAGAUCCAAAAAUUCUUCCCCUAUGAUAUAAGGAACGAGAUGCCUUGAAAACUCGAAUGUGUACAGACGUGUAAUAGUUAGUGAAUUCGUUCGUUUGUUUUUCGAUCGUUGUGUCUCCAGCCAGACGGGGUAAGCUUGACCUAAAUUGAAUUACCUUUAUUUCCAUUGUCUCGUUUUUGAAUUAUUUAGCAACAAGCCAAUUUGAAUUUGUGUAUUAUUAUUGUAUUGCGCUUAUGGAGAAAUUCCGCUUUCUCUCAAUAUUAGAGCUAUCAGAAGGGAUAGACUUUAUAAGCAGGUGUUGUAAUUAGUGUUUAUUGCUUAUUUUUGAUGUUAUCACUUGUUUCGUUCAAUACCUUCUAGUAAUCACACACUAACUUUUCGGUUGAAUAGAGUAGGCCGAUAGAUAACUAGUACGGUGAGCAAUAGGCUCUUGUGGUUCAGUUAUAUUUAUUCGCUGCUUUCUCCGGAAGGAGUUAAAAGUGAGCAAACCGGAGAUUAUAGUAUAUGAUUGUUUAGUGUCUACAUGUUGACUUCAACCGCCUAAUAAUUUUAUUGCAUUAUAUGAUAUUUUGUGAUCGGCCAUGAUUGCUUGUUUGUAAAUAGUGCAACCGACUCAUUGUUAAAAUGUUUAAUAAUUUUUAUAUUUAUUUAAAAUAUUUAUUCUUCGCAAUUACCUGAUUAGGAUGAGCAUUGAAUUACUCCUUGAGCUCAAAAUAUGAAGAUGAUAUUUUUAUCGAUUUUAGGUGUUAUAAUAAAUCUUUUUUAUGUCAAUUUUAUUCUGAUAUACAGGAUAUUUUUUAAAGAUUAUUGAAUUGACCUUAUAUUUUAUAUCAGAUCGAUUAUAAUGUUUUGUAGCGACAAAAACAGGAAGAUGACUUAAGGGGGUAAGCGCAAAAUUUCGGCUGCAAUGCUUUUUAAACGCAUUCAUUUUUUUUUCGAAUCCUGAGAAAACUAAUAUGUAUCUUUGAAAAAUUUAAACGGAGAAUGAAAGAUUACGUUUUACCGAGGGCUGAAGGUCCUUGAAAAUUUCUAUAAUCUCUAUUUUAUGAGUUAUAGAGGUCAAAAAAAAUAAGAGAAAGUUUAGUGUGAUUUUUAAUUUUAAAUAUCUCAUUUAAAAGAAACAUUUAUGGUUAUUCUAAGGGACUUUGGGUUCUCGGUAAUAAUGUAAUCUUUCAUUCUGCGUUUAAAUUUUUCAAAAAUAUUUAUUAGUUUUGUCGGGAUUCGAAAAAAAUAAAUGCAUUUAGAAAGCAUUGGAACCGAAAUUUUGCGCCUACGGCCUUAACUAUGCGCUUCUAUAUACAUCAAAAUUAAAUCUGUUUGAUAAAGUAUUAUGAAAUUAAAAAAAAUAUUGAUUUUGGAGCGGACUUAGUCAGUUUUUUUAUCACUUAUUUUUUAUUUCAAGCAACAAAACACGAAGUGGUGGUCAAAAAUUAACGAUAUUAAAAAUUCUUUUGGUAGGUGUACACAGACUAGUAGUCUGUGUAGGAGGAUACGUCUAAAGUUAUCGGCUAAUAGAGGUUAUGGUUAUGAUAGAUCUGGGCAAGGCCCACUUGUGAGCCCUCCAGGCUCCAAGACAGGAGUCAUAUAAUAAUGGAGGCUCUUUUUCACUGAAUUUAGAUAAAGAGUAGUACAUACAAAAAUGUUUAUUUCCAUGAAAAGUUUCAGCAAAAAAAAAAUAAAUAAACUUCCAAAUCUGCUCAUAUUGACUUCUUUAAAAUAUUUAAAUAACUUAUAAUUAACUUCUUGAAGUAUUUAUUAUUAAUAUUGACACUUAAUGCAUGACUUUAUCCAUGACUGCUUCAAAAAAAACUUAGUGUAUUACACACUAAAACUAACCAGCUUUUUGCCUGAACGCAUCAACACCAUGAUUUCUUCAUAAAACUUCGAAAUCGGCUACAUUCUCACUUAAGUUCUCAAUCAAACUUCCACUUCAAAAGCUCAAACUAAAAAUUCAACUCAACUCUUCAGAAACCGCCAUAAGCGGUCUCCGACCGAAGCUACAACCAACCUCUGACUUCAACUUCCAAAACUUGAAUCCUUUAAUCUCACAACUUGAAUGCAUCUCCUCAAACCAAAACGCUUCCUUCCAAAGACCCACUCCAUUUCUCUCAUUCUACUCUACUCAUCCAAUCAACCAAUAAGAAAAAAGUUUAAUCCUUCUUUCAUCCAUGACUAAUAAAAAAAUAACCAAGCUUCCUACAUGUACUAUCGACCAAUAGGGAAAAACAAAAUAUAUUUUAAGCCCAACCUACUUAGUAGGGAACCAUCAAAAAAUCAUUUCGCAAGUCGGCAAAACUCACUUAGUUCUACAGUUCUCAAGAAAAAUACUGCUGAGUGCACAAUCCUACACCUGCGCUUCUCUGAUACCAAAGCAGCACGUAUGUGUAUCUAACUCCCAAGAUUCGUGGAGCCAAAACGAUCAUUAGCUGCAAUGUAACUCUUUUUUAAUCACAAACUGAACACAGGAAAUAGAAUGUAGAUACCUAUGACUGUAAACUAAAUUAACGUCUUUCUUUAACAAGACGGAUAAACUACAAUUGAAUUAUUCUCACGUUCUUUCAGGACAGAAAUACAUUCCUAAAAUUUACUUGGCAUAUAAAGCGACAUUCCUACGUCUACAGGGUGAGACAAAAAUAUGUAACAAUGACAUUUACGCUUUUUGGUUUCUGGAUGAAACUAAUUAAGAAAUUAAUUAAGUUCUUUUGAACCGUUUUAAUACAAAACUACAUGCUAAAACAAACCUAAUGUCUUGUUGAAUACUAGGGCUAGGAAUCGUUAAACAAAAGAUGUACGAAUAAAGAGUAAAAUUAUUAUGUUUUAAAAUUAAAUAAAUUUAGAGUGUUUUAUUUGGAAGUAUAAAAAGUUUAAACCGCCUGUUGAUAAUCCUGAUAAGAUUUUUGAAGAAAUAUUUUUAAUAUCGUUGGUUGUUUAUCCAGUAAGUUCGCUUUUGUUUUGUUUAAUUUUGAAAUUUAUCAUAAAUUAUCAGAUUCUGCGCUACUUCAGGAGCAGCUCAAUGCUUUUAACACUUGGAUCAUUGCAAGUCCAGUUUGUAAUAGUAUUGAUGAUACAAACACUGGUAUUUUUGUUUUGUCUAUGAGGCAUUGCAGUUACUACGCUGGGCAAAUAAGACUGUUCUGGGAAUUGAUAAAAUAACAAUAUUUCGUCCAUCUCUAUUUUACGUUUUAACGAUAUUUUAUAAAAUGCAUUUCUUUUUGAGUGAAAAAUGAAGAAAAAUGUAGAAGUUGAGGAGCUUGAAGUUAACACGUUUUUUUUAGUCCUAUAAUAUCAUUUCAUAUCACUUUUAUUAUAUUAAGGCCUCUCUGGUCUUAUAAUUAUAUUUCUGAUAGUAGUUUUGAGCAUAUAUUUUCUAUUUUUCUCUAUGAGACAUUAAAUUUGUUUGCUGAUGUUUUAUUGUGAUAAAAGUGUCGGCUCAAUACAUCAGGAUGUAACCUAUUUGUUUUUAUGUCUAUUAUACUCUUUGUCUAAAAUGUUCACCUCAUACUUCAAUAACAUUACAUUUCAAAAGAAAUGAAACAGGAGAUUAAAAAAAAUGAAUUAAAAAUGAGCUUCAUUACUUGGCUACAAAAAGGGCACAGGACAUAGAAAAACAUGAGUACGUAACAUAACUUUCCUUCAGUAUACAAAAAUGAAGGUCAAACGUACAUUAACCCUUUAAGGCAAAGAACUACAUAAUUGUUUCUUUUUACGGGGAAUAUUUGCGAAAAUUGUUAAAUUAAAUAGAAGGUAAUGAGUUACCUGAUAGAAAAAACGGAAAUUAUCUUUAAAUUUAUUUUUUUCGGGGUGGUAAAUAUUGCUACCAGUAGGUGUUUGUGAGCAUUUACGACUGGUAAAUAUUUCUACCACUAUAUCUACACGCUAAAAGAAAAGUUGUAAAAGAGAAAAUAUGUAUUUCAAAUUUCAUUUCUGAUGAUAUAUGUAUUGAAAGACAUUCAGUUAUUACAUCUAUGAUAAGAGCCCUUGAUUUUGCCUUUUUGGACAAUUUGAAUUCCGAAUUUUUUUCGGAUAAAAUCGCACUAUUUAUGUCACAAAUCACAAAAAUUCUCGUGUAUUCAUGGAAAACAGUUGUAAAGCUUCUUAAAAAAAUUAGUAAGAUGUGUUGGCAAUGUGAAAUAGAUCGGAACAACUUUCAGAAAUCAUUUUUUCAUUUCAUCAAUUUUAAUGAAUAAACUAAUAAAAAAAAUAAAAUAAAUUACUCUAACAUUAAUACUGCUGAAGUACCCUACACAAAUACUUAGUGGUAGCUCUUUUUACUGCUCAAAGACCCUUGGAUUAGUACAGGCAUACGUGAGUCGUGUGGUCUCUAAUUUUACCAAAUAUCCUUUGCAGCAGUACUGUUUGUGCUUACGAUCUAGUACUACUGCCGUAGGUAGACAAAAAUAACCUUGAAUAAUAGUGGUAAAUAUAGCUACCAUGUACACUUAAAGGGUUAAUGAGACAGAUGCUGUAGGGUUAAUGAGACAAGGAAAUUUGAGAGUAGGUAAAAACAAAAUAAGAACACUGUAUGAUUUCUGUUAUAGACGUUGGCGGAAGGAUCAUACAAUAGUAGGAGAGAGAGAAGGAGGCAAGUCGUAUAUCGAGACAGGUCUGUGCUAACCUGCGUCUAUAGCUUCAAAUUAAGAUAUAUUUUUCAGCAAAUAUUGACAAAUACACUAACGAUGUUCGUUUUCAUAGUUUUUAAAUCACAUAAUAAUGGACAAAACUGUUAACUUCUUGACGAGCCGAUAUUUUAGAACUGGUAUUAGGUUUUUUAUGAUUUUAGCUACUAGGUGGACAGUAUUCGCAGCUAAUGCUAUAUGUAUAGAUAUUAAAUGAACAGUUACAAAUAAUUUUCUUUGAAUUUGUGCAAUCUCUCAUCCAGCAGUAACUACAAUGUCGUUUUACUGAUUUUUAUUUUAGUCAUUAUAUUUAUUAAAUUGGGUUAGUUCAUUGGCGUUUUUCAAUGUAUAGAAGGGGGGACUCGAAACUGUCAAAAUCCCUUUACGUAGUUUGAAAAUUUACGAAAAAAAAAAGAAUCUAUUUUUGUUAGAUGUCAAAAAAAAAUUAUAUGUACCUAUUGGAGCCCUCGCUCGAUUACGCCAAUGAGAUAGAAUGAUUCUCUUUGUCUUCUGCUAGUUUAUUUUCGCACUCAGGUAAUACAGUAUGAUUGUAAUUACGAGACAUAGAUGUGGCGAAUGAGGGAUAAAAAGACAUGUUGAAAAAUUGUGUUAAAUUUGAUUUUUUUAAUGAAAUUUAAAAAAUACCUAAUGUUGUUUGAUGCUUAAAUAGGUAGAAACCGAUUUGAUGUGUUGCUGAAUUCAUUUAAACUUUGUCAUAUUAUAUAUGAACUUGUAUCAGCCUUUUCAUUCAUUCAUUUUUUUUGUAAAACGGUGUUCCUCAAAAAUCCAAUUGAGAUUUAGUUGAAUAACUGUUUCGACAUUUCUCAUAUAAUAAAACUUAUUAAAAUUUUGCAUCAAAAUAUGAAGAUGCGUUUCUUUAAACCACGAAACGUUAUUUCUCGUAUAGCGACAUCUAUGUUUAAAAGGAAAUAACCACUUACUUAGUAUUUAAUUUUAUAUUACUUACAGAUAUCGUUCAUUUGUAUAUGGUAUUUUUCUGUAACUGAUGGGUAUAUAUGUAUAUUUAUAUGUGAAAAAUAUUGAGAAAAUUUGAAAAGAGACCAAGUGGACAGUGCCUUUACAUUAACCUCUGACGAUGGAGGGAGUUAUGCUUGUUUAGGGCAAGAUACAUAUUAUGAUUGUAAUAUGCCUUAAUUAUGUUAGUAUUAAAUAUUUAAUUCUUUAAA